UGGGGAAUUUUGGACAAUGGGCGCAAGCCUGAUCCAGCAAUGCCGCGUGCAGGAUGAAGGCCUUCGGGUUGUAAACUGCUUUUGUACGGAACGAAAAAGCUCUCUCUAAUACAGGGGGUGAAUGACGGUACCGUAAGAAUAAGCACCGGCUAACUACGUGCCAGCAGCCGCGGUAAUACGUAGGGUGCAAGCGUUAAUCGGAAUUACUGGGCGUAAAGCGUGCGCAGGCGGUUUUGUAAGACAGAGGUGAAAUCCCCGGGCUCAACCUGGGAACUGCCUUUGUGACUGCAAAGCUGGAGUGCGGCAGAGGGGGAUGGAAUUCCGCGUGUAGCAGUGAAAUGCGUAGAUAUGCGGAGGAACACCGAUGGCGAAGGCAAUCCCCUAGGCCUGCACUGACGCUCAUGCACGAAAGCGUGGGGAGCAAACA
rnacentral:rRNA from 1 species